UACGUAGGGUGCGAGCGUUGUCCGGAAUUAUUGGGCGUAAAGAGCUUGUAGGCGGUUUGUCGCGUCUGCUGUGAAAAUCCGGGGCUCAACCCCGGACUUGCAGUGGGUACGGGCAGACUAGAGUGUGGUAGGGGAGACUGGAAUUCCUGGUGUAGCGGUGAAAUGCGCAGAUAUCAGGAGGAACACCGAUGGCGAAGGCAGGUCUCUGGGCCGCUACUGACGCUGAGACGCGAAAGCAUGGGGAGCAAACAGG
rnacentral:rRNA from 1 species